rnacentral:rRNA from 1 species
GACGAGCGCUGGCGGCGUGCCUAAUACAUGCAAGUCGAGCGGACGAUUCGAAAGCUUGCUUUUGAAUCGUUAGCGGCGGACGGGUGAGUAACACGUGGGCAACCUGCCCUGUAGACGGGGAUAACACCGAGAAAUCGGUGCUAAUACCGGAUAACACGAAAUGUCGCAUGACGUUUCGUUGAAAGGCGGCGCAAGCUGCCGCUACAGGAUGGGCCCGCGGCGCAUUAGCUAGUUGGUGAGGUAACGGCUCACCAAGGCGACGAUGCGUAGCCGACCUGAGAGGGUGAUCGGCCACACUGGGACUGAGACACGGCCCAGACUCCUACGGGAGGCAGCAGUAGGGAAUCUUCCGCAAAGGACGAAAGUCUGACGGAGCAACGCCGCGUGAGCGAAGAAGGCCUUCGGGUCGUAAAGCUCUGUUGUUAGGGAAGAACAAGUAACGUAGUAACUGACGUUACUAUGACGGUACCUAACGAGAAAGCCACGGCUAACUACGUG